UACGUAGGGUGCGAGCGUUAAUCGGAAUUACUGGGCGUAAAGCGUGCGCAGGCGGUUUUGUAAGACAGGCGUGAAAUCCCCGGGCUCAACCUGGGAAUGGCGCUUGUGACUGCAAAGCUGGAGUGCGGCAGAGGGGGAUGGAAUUCCGCGUGUAGCAGUGAAAUACGUAGAUAUGCGGAGGAACACCGAUGACGAAGGCAAUCCCCUGGGCCUGCACUGACGCUCAUGCACGAAAGCGUGGGGAGCAAACAGG
rnacentral:rRNA from 1 species